CCUACGGGCGGCAGCAGUAGGGAAUCUUCCACAAUGGACGAAAGUCUGAUGGAGCAACGCCGCGUGUGUGAUGAAGGGUUUCGGCUCGUAAAACACUGUUGUAAGAGAAGAAUGACAUUGAGAGUAACUGUUCAGUGUGUGACGGUAUCUUACCAGAAAGGAACGGCUAAAUACGUGCCAGCAGACGCGGUAAUACGUAUGUUCCAAGCGUUAUCCGGAUUUAUUGGGCGUAAAGAGAGAUAAGACGGUUGUUUGAAUCCGAAGUGAAAGCCCCCAGAUUAACUGUGGAAGGGCUUUGGAAACUGGAUAACUUGAGUGCAGUAGAGGAGAGUGGAACUCCAUGUGUAGCGGUGAAAUGCGUAGAUAUAUGGAAGAACACCAGUGGCGAAGGCGGCUCUCUGGACUGUAACUGACGUCGAGGCUCGAAAGUGUGGGUAGCAAACAGGAUUAGAUACCCCUGUAGUC
rnacentral:rRNA from 1 species